rnacentral:rRNA from 1 species
AGCAGCCGCGGGAACACCGGCGGCCGAGUGGUGAUCGUGAUUAUUGGGUCUAAAGGGUCCGUAGCCGGUUUGGUCAGUCCUCCGGGAAAUCUGAUAGCUCAACUAUUAGGCUUUCGGGGGAUACUGCCAGACUUGGAACCGGGAGAGGUAAGAGGUACUACAGGGGUAGGAGUGAAAUCUUGUAAUCCCUGUGGGACCACCUGUGGCGAAGGCGUCUUACCAGAACGGGUUCGACGGUGAGGGACGAAAGCUGGGGGCACGAACCGGAUUAGAUACCCGGGUAGUCCCAGCCGUAAACGAUGCUCGCUAGGUGUCAGGCAUGGCGCGACCGUGUCUGGUGCCGCAGGGAAGCCGUGAAGCGAGCCACCUGGGAAGUACGGCCGCAAGGCUGAAACUUAAAGGAAUUGGCGGGGGAGCACAACAACGGGUGGAGCCCUGCGGUUUAAUUGGACUCAACGCCGGACAACUCACCGGGGGCGACAGCAAUAUGUAGGCCAAGCUGAAGACUUUGCCUGAAUCGCUGAGGAGUGGUGCAUGG